UGCAGGUGGUUUGUUAAGUCAGAUGGUGAAAAGCCCCGGGGCUCAAACCCUCGGAAUUGCAUUUGAAACUGGCAAACUAGAGUACUGUAGAGGGGGUAGAAUUUCAGGUGUAGCGGUGAAAUAGCGUAGAGAUCUGAAGGAAUACCGGUGGCGAAGGCGGCCCCCUGGACAGAUACUGACACUCAGAUGCGAAAGCGUGGGGAGGCAAACAGGAUUAGAUACCCUGGUAG
rnacentral:rRNA from 1 species